UCAAUCGCCUUCACCUGCAGGCAGGCAGACACGGAAGGGGACGGGAAUGGCGACAGGCAGGCGUCGUCCGCGGCAGUGCAGGCGAUGACGAUGUGGGCUCGGCGGCGCGUCGCUUUUACGCAAGAAACCAUCCAUCGCCGGAAUAAAGAAGGCGCACGACGGAGUGCGUCUUCCCCCCUCUAGUUUAUCUGCUGCCCAAGCGACAGGUAUCGCAUCGCUCCCCGAUUUGCCAUGGAUCCGUCACGGCACCAUCUAGUUUAUCUAAUCCUGACCAUGAUUUCUCUUUCACCUGCUAACUGAGAGAUAGAUACGCCGGGGAUCUGUUGUGCGGCAAGAGCGACCUCACGCGAUGCGUUCAUGCAUGCCAAUAUGCCAUCACUGCAUCACAGCACCGCACCCCCUGCCGCCUUUUUCCAGCGAUCUUGUGUCGCGUUGUAGCCUUUGUAAAAAUUCAGUGAUUGUAGAUGCGUGGAUAUGUGGACUAGGAGCAGCUAGCGGUCUCAUUAGCGGCCGGGCCGGCUUGUUUGACGUUUGCGUUUUCAUUUUCGGACUUGAAAGGUUUUCACCUGGUCCAUGGAUCUACGGAUUGGUGUUACGAAUUACUAACUGCUUCUUUUUCCGCAUCAGCGACUCAGCGAGUAACUACAGCCGCCCCUACUUUUUUUCACGUCGUUGUUUAGUUGUUGCUUGCUAGCCCUUCCUGAUAGCCUCAUUUAUUCCCCACAG
rnacentral:lncRNA from 1 species